UCUGGAAGGGCGGAGGCACGGAGGGCGAUUCCCCGUACGUGCUCGGUCGUCCCCCGACGAGCGAACGCAUCGGAGAGUCGGGCCGCUUGAGAGUGCAGCCCGAAUGGGGUGAUAGGUCUCAUCCAAGGCUAAGUACGUGGGAGACGCCGAUAGCGAACAAGUACGGCGACGGAAAGGUGAAAAGAACCUCGAAAGGGGGGUCAAAAGCGCUCGAAAUCGUAGAGGGGGAAGCGGACCUGACCGACGAGACCUCGUCGUCGCUCGCGCUCGACCCACGCUUCGUCGCGGAGUUCCGGAGGGCUCGCCCCCCGGAGCCGCGGCGCGGCGGGGUCGGGAGGCGCUCGGCGGCGGGGCCGCUUGCGCGGACCGGCGUCGCGCCGAACGAGAGGUCGCCUCGGCUCGCCCGAAAGGACGCGCCGGGGGCCGCCCGGAGGACGCGGCGUCGGCCCGAGGGAGAAGGAG
rnacentral:rRNA from 1 species